CACGUUGAAACAACGGUUCCCGUAGGAUCACAGAAGUUAAGCAAAGUCGAGCCUGGUCAGUAACUAGAUGGGUGACCGCUUGGUAAUGCCUUGUGCUGUAAG